rnacentral:lncRNA from 1 species
AGGGGGGGGUGCGCGGAAGAGGCGCGCGCCUCCCCUUCCAGGCGGUUUGUAGUGGUCCCGCAGUUCUUUCCAGGGGCGUCUCACGAACGGAGACCCCCGCCAGAACGGGCAGCGCGGGGAGCGAGCAGGUCGGUCUCGCGGGGCCGCAGCGUGCCCGGCUGAGGGCCGGCUAAAACCGGAUCCAGACGAAGGAAGCAAGCGUGCGUGGACGCUCUCGAUCGCCGCCCCACACCGUAAACGUGCGCCCCGUUGACAAAACCAUUCUGUGGUCAAACAAGCCUAGAAAUGCGCGGCUACACGAAGCCGAGGGGCUCUUCAGCGCCAGGCCUCUCAAAGGUGCUGGUGCGCGUGUGGCCAGCACGGAGCAGCGUGUUCUCGGUGCAGCUCCCGCGCUUGUCCGACGUCGGGCUGGACUCAGGGCGUCUGUGGGACGAGCGGCCCGCACGACACCCCGUGAGGAAACCCUGCUGGGAGCCGCGGGACCCAGGCCGGGUGACUCCUCUGUUCGCCGCCGCCGAGUGCCGACGAAGCGCGCCUCCUCGCGUGACUCGACCUCAUCCCCGGGCGCGUCGGCGUGCGGAGAAGCACACGACGAGCGACUUGCAAAUGUGAAGGAUCAUGGAAGUACCAAGUACUCGGACAUUAAGUUCUCAAACUCCUGCCUAAAAACACACGUGGAGCAACCGUCACGUAGGGCUGCUGCGGAGGCGUCCUGCUCUCCGGCUUUCGUCCUUUCCCCACUGGUCCCCGCACCUCCGGUGGUCUCCGCACCUCACCUACUCUCUGCACCUCCCGUGGUCCCCGCACCUCCGGUCGUCCCCGCACCUCAGCCUCGGGCCCUUUCCAGAGCUGGGAUGUGUGUGCAGAAGAGAAGGAGGAAAGGAUUCCGGAGCCCUGAGGGCUGA